rnacentral:lncRNA from 1 species
CAGGGGGCUCAUCAGUUGUGGCAUUACUAUCUAGGCCACAUGGGAGAUCGUGGGAUGAAAGAGCUAAGCAAGCAUAGUUUGAUUUUAGAUCUAGAUAGAGGUAUCUCAAAGGUAUGUGAGACAUGCCAGAUAGAAAAGUAGAGGAAAGUAUGUUUGCCAACAGUUUAGCCCACAAUGCAGCCCCAUUGGAACUAGUUCAUACUGAUGUGUGGGGAUUGGCCCCGAUUUCAGGUAGAAAUGGGG